CAAGGUAUUGAAAUAAGGUUUUAAUUGAAUGCUAAAAGAAUGGAAUAUCAAAGAAUAACUUUCUUAAAAUUAAAAAUUGAAAUUUUUUUAAUUUGUGUAAAAACAAUUAUAUAAAUUAAAGACAAGAAGACCCUAAGAAUUUUUAAAAUUUAAAUUAACACAUUUUUGUUUUAAUUAAAUUUUAACUGGGGCGGUUAAAAAAUAUUAAAAACUUUUUAAUUUUGAAAAUGACCCAUUAUUAAUGAAAAUAUGAUAAAAUACUCUAGGGAUAACAGCGUUAUAUUUUUUGAUAGAUCAUAUUGACAAAAAAGUUUGCGACCUCGAUGUUGGAUUAGGAUACUUUUUUAAUGAAGAUAUUAAAAUAAGAAGUUUGUUCAACUUUUAAAUUCCUACUUGAUCUGAGUUCAGACCGG
rnacentral:rRNA from 1 species